CAUAUCAAUAAGCGGAGGAAAAGAAACCAACCGGGAUUGCCUCAGUAACGGCGAGUGAAGCGGCAAGAGCUCAAAUUUGAAAUCUGGCCCCUUUGGGGUCCGAGUUGUAAUUUGCAGAGGAUGCUUCGGGUGCGGUCCCCAUCUAAGUGCCCUGGAACGGGCCGUCAUAGAGGGUGAGAAUCCCGUCUGGGAUGGGCGGCCGCGCCCGUGUGAAGCUCCUUCGACGAGUCGAGUUGUUUGGGAAUGCAGCUCUAAGCGGGUGGUAAAUUUCAUCUAAAGCUAAAUACUGGCCGGAGACCGAUAGCGCACAAGUAGAGUGAUCGAAAGAUGAAAAGCACUUUGAAAAGAGAGUUAAACAGCACGUGAAAUUGUUGAAAGGGAAGCGUUGUCCACCAGACUCGCCCGGGGGGGCUCAGCCGGCACGUGUGCCGGUGUACUCCUCUCCGGGCGGGCCAGCAUCGGUUUGGGCGGCUGGUGAAAGGCCCCGGGAAUGUAACACCCUCCGGGGUGCCUUAUAGCCCGGGGUGCCAUGCAGCCAGCCUGGACCGAGGCCCGCGCUUCGGCGAGGAUGCUGGCGUAAUGGUGGUCAACGGC
rnacentral:rRNA from 1 species